AGCGGCGGACGGGUGAGUAACACGUGGGCAACCUGCCUGUAAGACUGGGAUAACUCCGGGAAACCGGAGCUAAUACCGGAUACUAUGUCAAACCGCAUGGUUUGACAUUCAAAGACGGUUUCGGCUGUCACUUACAGAUGGGCCCGCGGCGCAUUAGCUAGUUGGUGAGGUAAUGGCUCACCAAGGCGACGAUGCGUAGCCGACCUGAGAGGGUGAUCGGCCACACUGGGACUGAGACACGGCCCAGACUCCUACGGGAGGCAGCAGUAGGGAAUCUUCCGCAAUGGACGAAAGUCUGACGGAGCAACGCCGCGUGAGUGAUGAAGGUUUUCGGAUCGUAAAACUCUGUUGUCAGGGAAGAACAAGUGCCGGAGUAACUGCCGGCACCUUGACGGUACCUGACCAGAAAGCCACGGCUAACUACGUGCCAGCAGCCGCGGUAAUACGUAGGUGGCAAGCGUUGUCCGGAAUUAUUGGGCGUAAAGCGCGCGCAGGCGGUUUCUUAAGUCUGAUGUGAAAGCCCCCGGCUCAACCGGGGAGGGUCAUUGGAAACUGGGAAACUUGAGUGCAGAAGAGGAGAGUGGAAUUCCACGUGUAGCGGUGAAAUGCGUAGAGAUGUGGAGGAACACCAGUGGCGAAGGCGACUCUCUGGUCUGUAACUGACGCUGAGGCGCGAAAGCGUGGGGAGCGAACAGGAUUAGAUACCCUGGUAGUCCACGCCGUAAACGAUGAG
rnacentral:rRNA from 2 species